CUCAGUCAGCUCCUUGAGUAUUAUAGUAUGUAUUUCAUCAGGCCUUGGUGACUUGAAGGCAUUGAAUUUGUCUAAAUAUGUUUUAACUUUUUCUUU